GCGUGAGUGGCGGAACUUGGUAGACGCGUCAGACUUAGGAUCUGAUAAGAACCAUUCUUGUGCCGGUUCAAAUCCGGUCUCACGUA
rnacentral:tRNA from 1 species